rnacentral:rRNA from 1 species
UAGGGAAUCUUCGGCAAUGGGGGCAACCCUGACCGAGCAACGCCGCGUGAGUGAAGAAGGUUUUCGGAUCGUAAAGCUCUGUUGUAAGAGAAGAACGUGUGUGAGAGUGGAAAGUUCACACAGUGACGGUAACUUACCAGAAAGGGACGGCUAACUACGUGCCAGCAGCCGCGGUAAUACGUAGGUCCCGAGCGUUGUCCGGAUUUAUUGGGCGUAAAGCGAGCGCAGGCGGUUUAAUAAGUCUGAAGUUAAAGGCAGUGGCUUAACCAUUGUUCGCUUUGGAAACUGUUAAACUUGAGUGCAGAAGGGGAGAGUGGAAUUCCAUGUGUUGCGGUGAAAUGCGUAGAUAUAUGGAGGAACACCGGUGGCGAAAGCGGCUCUCUGGUCUGUAACUGACGCUGAGGCUCGAAAGCGUGGGGAGCAAACAGG